rnacentral:rRNA from 1 species
UGAGGAAUUUUGGGCAAUGGGGGAAACCCUGACCCAGCGACGCCGCGUGGGCGAUGAAGGUCUUCGGAUCGUAAAGCCCUGUGAGUGGGGAAGAAGGGAUUGGUUGCUAAUAUCAACCAGUUUUGACAGUACCCACAGAGGAAGCCCCGGCUAACUACGUGCCAGCAGCCGCGGUAAAACGUAGGGGGCUAGCGUUGUUCGGAAUUACUGGGCGUAAAGCGCGUGUAGGCGGUUUUGUAAGUCGGAAGUGAAAUUCCUCGGCUCA